rnacentral:rRNA from 1 species
ACUAGUAAUAAUAAUUGGGCUUAAGCUUUUUUGGAUGGUGGCUAGGCCCAAGAGGUUAACAGAGUUAAGCGUACUAGGACGGGAGUAGUCCUAGGAUGGGUGACCCCCUGAGAAUUUGGGGUGUUACAUUUA